UACGUAGGGUGCGAGCGUUGUCCGGAUUUACUGGGCGUAAAGAGCUCGUAGGCGGUUUGUCACGUCGUCUGUGAAAACCCGAGGCUUAACCUCGGGCCUGCAGGCGAUACGGGCAGACUUGAGUACUGUAGGGGAGACUGGAAUUCCUGGUGUAGCGGUGAAAUGCGCAGAUAUCAGGAGGAACACCGGUGGCGAAGGCGGGUCUCUGGGAAGUAACUGACGCUGAGAAGCGAAAGCAUGGGUAGCAAACAGG
rnacentral:rRNA from 1 species